GUCCCCUUCGUCUAGAGGCCCAGGACAUCGCCCUCUCACGGCGACAACACGGGUUCGAAUCCCGUAGGGGACGCCA
rnacentral:tRNA from 1 species